UGUCCUUGUACCAAAGGGGGAGAUGGUUGUCUACAAAGGAAGAGUGAAGACUAAAUGCAUCCGAUGAGGAUGGGAUUCGAACCCAUGCGUGCAAAGCACAAUGGAUUAGCAGUCCAUCGCCUUAACCACUCGGCCACCUCAUCUGAGGUGUCAGGAAAUGGACAGGAUGAGAAAUCUAAGGCCAGCAGAGACAGGGACACUAAGGUGUUCUUAAAUACUAAGCGGAAGCAGGGGCUGAAUGAGCUCCCCCCUCACACCUACUGACCAGCUGUGGGAAAGGCUUCAGGAACAGACCAUGUUUGCAUAGACACACCUACUCUGCCUAGAAACCUCCCUUGUGUUUCAGACUGUGCAGUGACGCCCUCCCCACCCCAGGCCUCUGGAGCCUUUGGAGCAGAAAGAUCCCAGGAGCUGAGGAUGAAUCCAGGGACAGCUCAGUCCCAACCGUUCUCCCUCUGCUGCCAGUGAAGCUCAGUUCUGUCCCACAGCCCCAAGAACUGCUAGGUGAAAGUC